CAACUUCUACGUCUUCUGACAGCAGUGACUCUGACUCAGGGUCAGAAAUGAAGAACAAAUCAAAAUACUUCCACCAAAAAGUUCAUAAGGUGGUGUAUAAUGCCAGAAUUAAGCA